CUUCCCCUCUCUGUUCGUCCGCCCCGCCGGCGCCGAGAUGGGCGGUGCGCGCGCGUCCAAGGCCUCCCGCCGCGCGCACGAGAUCGAUAAUGUCAGGAACAGCGCCGGGCUGCCGUCAAUUUGCCCGCGCUGCGCCCGUUCAGCGGAGCGAGGCGGAUGAAGAAAAACUUGGGUAGAGACCAGAUUGCGGUAGAGAUUAAGAAAACCAAAGAAGCUAAUGCUGAAGAUGAAGGAUCACAUGGAUAUAACGUUGGGAAUACCUGAUGAGGUGGCGGCACUGGUAGAUGUCCCAGCAAAAGAAAGAUUUGCAAAGUACAGAGGAUUGAAGUCAUUUAGGACCUCAUCCUGGGAUCCUAAGGUUUUAAUCACCACUAGUUAUGUUGAAUAUAAAAGAAUCAUUACUACCUGAAUAUGCAAGAAUAUUUGUAUUCGAUAACUUUACACGAACUCAAAAGCAUGUCCUUGCUAAAAUUGCUGAGCUAAAUGGAGUUACAAAGGAUUGUGCUCAAGUGGGAUCAUAUAUGAGGCUUUAUGUCAAAAAUGUUCCAUUGAUAUCGCGUCCAAACUUUGUCAUCUAUCAAGGACAAUACCUGUGGUUGUUUUUGGUCUUCUUCAACAUGAGUCAAAAAUGUGCAUUCUCACUUCAGCAUAAAGAAACAUGACUGCUUUGAAGCUCCUAUCAAAUCUAAGGAGCCUUUGAUUUUCAAUGUUGGAUGCUGGCAAUUACAGCAAGGCCAUGUUUUCAUCCGACAGCCUCAACUGCAACAAACAUAAGAUGGAAAGAUUUCUACACCAUGGAUGGUUUUCUGUUGCUUCUGUGUAUGCUCCAGUUUGCUUUCCUGCACUUCCUCUAUUUGUUUUUUAAGAACAGAGAUGGCGAGCAGCCACUGCUGUAGGUUCAUUAAAUAGUGGGGACCCGGAUUGGAACACUGAAGAAAAUUGUUUUGACAAGUAUCCAGAGAUCCUCAAAAUUUAAAAGCUAUUUGUGCGGUACACAAUGCUGCAAACGAUCCAAGGCAAGUAUUUAUAUUCCAUUGAUAUAUCCUAUAUAUUCAUAUUCAAUGCCAAUAACAAGGUUAU